UAUUUAAAAUUUCAUUCAUUUGUAUUGUUAAAAAUUGACCUGGUUGACGAAAUAACCAGAUAGUAGUAACAUGUGUGGUGCAACGUGCACCUUAGCAAACGUAUAGAGACCAAUUUUCAAUAGUAGAAAUGGAUGAAAAUUUUAACA
rfam:Gossypium arboreum cultivar AKA8401 contig_7794_5, whole genome shotgun sequence.